GUUGAAAUGGCUGAGCCAUAAGCGAUAAACUGUAAAUUUAUUAACGAGGAUUACCUCUUUCAACA
rnacentral:tRNA from 1 species